rnacentral:misc_RNA from 1 species
AAUAUGGAAAGACCGCCUGAAUUUCAAGAUAUUGAAAUAAGGGGAAUUAGUGAAGAUAAGGAAGAUGAAGAUGUGAUGCAAGAAAUUGAUGUGGAAAACAAAAGGGAACAAUGCAGGGUAGUGAUGGUACUAACACUUCAAACAAAUGAGCAGAGCUCAAGCUCAACAUUAUUCGACCCGAGGUUGAACUACACUCGUUUAUAAGCUUGCAAGUUCGGCUCGUUAAAUAGGUUCACAAGCUAGUUUGCUGAAUCGGCUCGUGAGUUAGCUCGUUAAAUAGACUUGUGAGAUGGCCUGUUAAACAAGCUCAUUUUUAGACUAAUUUAUAAGCUUGUGAGUUGGCUCAUUUACA